CGUCCUGAAUGACUCCUUUCGGGCCGCGACAUCCACACACAUCGCUCUGUCUUCACCGAUGCUCCACCAGCAUGUUGUGCAGCAUCACACUGGGAAAACGGAGCUCUCCUGGAACAAGGUGCACUGGGGACUGCUAUGCAGUAUUGCUGUUUGUCUAUGAGGAGGUAACAGAAGGCAGAGUCAAAAGCCUUGCUAAAGUUAAGAUAAACAACAUCCACUCUCCCUGCAUCCACCAAGAUAGUCAUUGCUACCACCAUUUUCCAUGGUGCACGUCAAAAGGAGAUCAUGAUGUUGCCUGCCUUGCCCAUGUAAUAACCCCAUGGACAGACCACUCACCCUGAGAAACAAGCAUUUGAGAGUCAUUGAAGAGGACAGAAAAGCCUGAUUCCUGUUGGCCAAAGGAAAUGAGGUUGUGAAAGUCACUAUGGAGCCAACCGAAGUUUGAAAACCUGAGCUAACCAGGAAGGCUCCACUCACUGAGGUACUGCAGGGGACAGGGACAGCACGAAGGUUGGCUGCAGGCUAGAGAGAGGUGACUACUUUAUGCUGCUGCUUGAGACUGUAAAGAAUGUGUGUUGAAUUCCUCUGCACAGGGUUCUCUACAGAAUGGGGAAAAUAUUUUUUCUGUGUGUCAAGGCAUAUUAAAAGAACAAGCACAUUAAAAAUGUAGUUCUUUACACUGAUCAAACCUAGUUGUGAUGGAGGAAUGUGGUUUCCUAAGUCAGAAGGAAGAGUCAUUAAAGAAGAAGCCCUGGUUAUGAAAUCAGUAGUGCAAGGAAAAAAAUAAUCAGCUCAGAGUUUUGUCCUUGUUAGACUUAAUGAUUUUUCUUAAUUCUUUCUAAUAUCUUUGCAACCAGAGUCGCUAAACUGUACAUACAAUAUCGUUAUUUUCAUAAUAAAGAAAAAGAAUCAAAUACUGAAAAGCACAGAAAUACGGAAAAAAACAAACAAAUGAAGCAUGAUCCUAGAUGGUUGAAUUUAGCUUCAUGCACUUCACUUGAAUAUGACUUUUAGGCUGGGUUUUAUACCUGCAGCUUAUACCUACAUCCCAGAGAAGAAGAAGAAGGUAGUGAUCUCACUUUUUUUAAAAUCUUUAACACCCGCAGUACCUACUUUGAGGCAGCAAGUAAAUCCACUGAAGUUGUUAAAGAAAUUACUUAAUCUCCAUUUACAGGUCAGUCAGUCAUCUGUGAAAAAAAAAAAAAAAAAAGAAGCCCUGCAUGGCCCAGGCAAAAGGCAAGGAACGCAAAACAGCAGAAUUAAAGUGUCACUCUCCCAUGCUACAGGGACUAGGCAAUUCUUUUUACUCCCAGAAAAAGAGGGGUCAAACAUCGGUUGGUAUUAAACCUGAAAACUAAUGAUCUUACUGCUUAUUCCAAGGGGUCUGAUGACUGGGCAAGAGGCCAGGACAUCUUAGCCAGCAAAAUAUCUCAAUUAGCUGCAAACUCUUUGCCAAGUUACUCAGACACAUAAUAUGUCUCCCCCUAAUUUCUUCUUGAUCUCAUUCAGUCAAAUACCUUUGGGAAUUCAACAAAUGGGACCAGACAAAGGCAACCGGAGGCAACUGCUAAUGGUAGACAAUUUCGUCUUCUCUAAGAAAGAAAUGGGAUUCCUACUGUACUUGGAAGUGUAAUUUUCACACAAGGUACUGAUCACAAAUAUGGAAUUCCAUUUCAUACAGCUUUCAAUUGGUUCUAAAUGUCAUGUCAGUAUAAGCCAAAAAUCCCCAAACCAAUGAAUGUGUUUGAUGCUUUUACCUGUAACUGUUAGUAUCCAGCUUGAUUGUUCAAAUCCUUGGUCUGUUUGAUUACUGAAAGGCCCUAUUCCUCCCAGGUCACUCCAAGUCAACCUGAACUUGAUUUUUAUACUGUAUAUCUCACUGUAACACCCACUAACCCACUGCUAAGCUUUAGUUUCUUCUUGACUUGUUUGCUCUCUCCCUUCAAUUCUGACACAACUAUCCCUUUCUGUCUUCAUGAAACAUUUUGGAUUCACUGAAAGGGGUGUAUUUUGGCAAAAAUAUUUCUUCCAGCUCUAAUCAGCUGGUAUCAGGCGUGCAUCCUCUUCACUAAGAGAAGGGUCUUUGUGUACCCAAUUAUUGCAAGGUUUUAAUUUAUGCUAUCAACAUUUAUAGAAGUGACUGUCAGUGCACAGCAAGAAGAACAGCUUUGCUAAUAAUUGGAAUUGAGACUUACAGAACCUUUUUUUUUUACAAUCUAACUACCUGGGAGAUCUGUUAGGAUCUUGCUUUUUGCCUUCUACCCUCCUAAGAGACCCACAUUGGACUGUUCCAUCCUUGUAGUUAACAGGGCUUAAUUCAUUUAUAUUGCACUAGAAAUCUAUAGCUGAACUGAAAUUUAAUCAAUGUUCUUGACUGAAAGGACUUACACUCGAUAUCAUGAAUCCACCUUCUGAUCCUGACAUCUCUGGAGAAGACUAUGACAGCAUAACAUGUUGCGACCACCUCAUUUACUGUCAUGGAAGCUAAAGACUAAGCAGGGAUACAAGACUGGACAAGAUCUCAAGACGUCAUCUAAUUCACAUUUCCAUCCAAAGGUGGAAUGACACAGAGAGCCCAUCUGUGUUCAAAGUUUGUUUUCCGAUCUGCUUUUCAGAAAACACCAGUGGCAUUUUUUAGCCAGACUAUAUCUAGGGAUUAAAGUCUUCUAUAACAUAAAAGUGUACUCAUUAAAAAGACUUUUAUCUAUAAUCAGCACAGUCAUGCAAACUUGCCUCAUCCUGACAUCUACGUUUCUCACUUUCUUCCUUCUCACUAAUUACAAACUGCACAAUACCCAAGCAAGCAACAAAAACAGCUUGCCAGUUCUCCAGUCUUCUCUUUUCUUUGCUAAUCCCUCUGGUUUUUGUUUUCCUCUGCAUGCAUGUGCACAGCACACACACACACAUGCACAUGCACACAUGUACACAUCUUUCUCUCCAAAUAGAUGCCUAAGCCUGUGAGGGGGUAGCUUAUAGUAGGACUGCUUUCACCCUCAUGGGAGAGUGUCUCCUUGAAAUCACUGGAGCUACAUGAAGUUGAACAUGCAAUGGGAGAAUAGAGCCUUACAGAAUAUUGGCUGAGAAGUUUUCGAUCAUGGAAGUUGGGAGGAGCACACCCUCCACAUGGCCUAGUGCCUGCUUAGUGGGAACAUAAUUGCAGGGAAAACCAUUUGAAGCAGUCAGGAAUGAAAAUUGUGACAUUUAUAUCAAGAUCUGCUUCUGUUUCCUUCCAGACACUCAGUUCUAUUUCCUAAAAAAGUGCUAGGUUAUUUAGAUGUAGAGCUUGGCUUUGGUGGGGCUGUCAUUUACAGUAAAGUGGAGUGGGAGUUCCACUUUUUGACUGGAACUGCAAUUCCCUUUGAAAGUUAACUUCUGCUCAGAGCUAGUUUACAGUGUUGAAAAACAUUAUUGCCUUUAAAAAAGGUUCAUCUGUAGACCAAAAAUGAUAUCAUUAUAAACAGUAUUGCUUGUUACUAAGUAGAGUUAAGAAAACAUACACAGUAACCAAUGUUCAUAAAAGAGUCCAUACUAGGAAAAUCUCUAAGAGAUGAGUAGUGUCUUGACUUGUUUCAGCUUCAGAGCGAUUUUUGUUCACUGUUUUAAGCGGCCUCUUAUAAGUACAUAUAAUGGGCUCGCUAGUUUAUUUUGUCCCAAAGUGUAUGGAGAGAUGAAAAAAGGCAGACUGCUUUGUAAUACAAAAUGCAUGUUACUCUUUCUAGCCAGCAUACAUUACAAGACCUUUUAAAAUAUUUUGCAAUUGUUUUAUGUCUUUCCAUUCGCAGGCUAUGUCAUCAAUUAAGUUUAUGUAAGUAAGUGAAAUUAUGUUAAUGCUGAAGUAGUAAGGACUAUAUUUGAAGCCAAGUCUUAGCCUUUGAAGGUAUGUGUGUACAAAACUGCUUUUUCAUGCACAAAUAGCUAGAGAUUUGCCUGAUUCUAACAUCUGUGUAAACACGUGGUAUUAUGUGUGUGUAGAUUAUCUUACUGAUGUUAGAAGGCCAGUUCUCCCACUUGUGUGCUAGUUGUGUUGAAUAGCAGGUCGAGUGUGCAUACCACUGUUUGCACGGCCGGCUAUAAGUAUAUAAGUUUGUUAGUGCAACAUUUCAGGUACAUAAAGAAACUGGCAGGUUGAAAAUUAGGUCCACUGGGCUGAGUAUCUACACCUAAAAUUUACCUAGCCUGUGUUAAAAUUGAAUUUCAUGAACUAGCAGUCUAGGUCCUUGGAAGACUAGACGAGUAGUCUGGAGCAGAUUCCUACAGCUACUCCCAAAAUGUACUCUUCAUGUGCAAGAUUCGUGCCAGAAAUCAUAUCAAGAAAAAAACAUUUUUUUUCUUCAACUCUUCACCUGCCUCUGCCUCAUACACCUUCAUAAAUUCCCAGAUUUGCUUCCAGAAAAACUCCAGAGCUAAUCUUUGUCUGCCUUUUCCUAGGUUUUCAGUGUUUUCAGUGAUUUUCUGUCCUCAUUUAGCUGCUCAGAACUAUUUCUAACAAUGAACUGUAAAAAGGGGGAAAGCUUUUUUUUUUCCCAAAGAAAGAAGCACCUGCAAAUUAGAAGUGGCAUCUGGCCAGAGUCGUACUUCAAAACUGUAUUUAAUAAUAUGGAUUGAGCUUGCAGUCAUUUGUGAUCUUAGCAGAAGUACCUUUGAAGUAGAACUGUUGAUCAGAUGUGUAAACCGGGACACAUUUAAGUGUAUUGUCGGAAUCAGUAUGCAGUGUUUGGAGAAGGUUAAAAAAAGAAACUCAAUUACUAGAAGACUAAAUGAAUAAUAAAUUGAAAUACCAUGAUUCCCUUACAAAUAAAGGAAUUAAAGAAAGGCUAACUAUUACAGAAACUUACCUUGUUUGACAAUAGAGAGCUCAGGAGACUGAGGUCACAUCCUUGCAGACACAGUCAGUAACAGUACUAAUGAAAGUUUCUGUGUUUGGAAAGGAAUCCAGAAUCAAAUUUACUGGAUACGGUAUUUUAGCUAUAGAAUAUAGAUAUAGAUAUUUAGAAGACACAAUAUUUUAGCAUACCAUUACACCACUUAUCCUAACUCAGACUCCUGAAAAUGUCCAACAUUUUGGGAGCUUGUUAGGAAAUUCUACAUUGACUGUAAUAUUGUGACUCAGUACUGUUCCAUUAUCUCUUCUGCAUUGCCAACUUUUUACUGGGCUGUUUGGAUUGGGGUUGUUGCGAUCACAUCACUUUAUAUGGGAGUAAGUGUCUUCUCAGCCAACGCUGAUGUAGGUAAGGGUAGUUUAGGUCCCUUUUACUCUGCCACAGAGCCAUUCAGAUUACCCCUUUUUCAAAUCUCACUUGCUCAACGUUUUUGUGUGCCCUACAGUUUCUAUACUAAUUCCCAUUUUCCCUGCUGAAGGACGAAUUGUAUGAUAUCAAAUGCUAGGUAAGCCUAACCUACAGCAUUUCUUCAGCUGCAGAGGGGAAAGUGGGUGCCUUUCAGAGAGGGCUGGGUAUUGGAGUAAACAGCUCCCUGAAGGAAUGAGAGAGGUCGUUGUGCAGAAUGAAAGAGGAUAUCUACAUACUCUGACUCCCAGCAAUGGUGUUGGCUUAGAAUAGAAGGAUUUUGUAUUAAAAAAUACUUUUGUAAGCUUAUAAUUCAAAAUUUUUUUGUGUGUGAUUUCUCACUUGCAUAUAAUUCAUAGAAAUGUAGUUACAAUCUCCUAUUUACUGAAACACCAGUACAUCCCAACUUUGCAAUUUCUUCAUGUUUCUUAAACAAAUUUCUCUAAAGACAACUCUUAUCUGCAUCAUAAUCACAAUUUUUGCAGCCUAAAAUACAAGUAAAUUAAAUUGCUAAACUAUUUGCACCAGAUGCAAAACUAAAGGUCUGUAAAUAAUUAACUGAAACUCAUCUAGUUAACAUACUUAGUAUGUAGCCAGUAGGAGAGGAAAUAUAUUUACACACAUUUCUAAGAAAAGUCAAGCACCAUUUUGAUGGAGUGAUAGUCAAGCUUGUACAGUUUGGUCACAAGUUUUCUGAACCCAUCUCUAAGUAAAUUUUCAGCAAAGGCAUUUUAAACUUUAAAUGCUGAAGGCAAUUCAUCAUGCAUACCUGAAAAAUGUUGUUUUUUUAAGACUUGCAUAUUCCUGUUGAAUUAGCUCUAAAUCUGGUAUUUAUUGAACACACAGGGUUUUCUGCCAAACCUCAUCCAAUCUGGUGACAUCAGCAGAUGUGCCAAAUCCCAUAACUAUAACAUCUCCAUCCCUUUUCUAUCUUUUUAUGAGAAGCUGUAAUAGGCAAUGGCAACAUGCUUUUCGUUUGAGCCAGUUUUAACACUUGAACUUCAAAUAACUAAGAUAGCAGGGGCUUUCGGUAUGGUUUCUUUACUAUUUCUUUGCUUCCAAACUUGUAAAGAAUGAAGCAGAUGUGUAUUUAUGAGACCACAUCUUAGAACAAGUUAAGGACUGGCUUUCAAAAGUUAUGAUCUGCUUUAAUUUCUUGUCUAGACAUAUCUUUAAAUUGGAAAAGAGAAAAGGAAUGUUUAUUUUUUUUCAUAUUAUGUCAAUGUUUUGAUUAAUGCUCUGUUAAAUUAAAAAAACUAAAACCCACCUUCCUUUAGCAAGCAAAGUCGUGUUCUGUGAUACAAGCAGUUGUUCUUAGUUCAGGAUUUAACCUCUCAUUGCAACAAUCUGAUAGUCAUAUGAUGUUCAAACACUGCUUGCUGAUUCUAAGAACAGAAUUAAGUCCUGGUGAAACUAAUCAGAAGGGAGUGGCUGAUAUUUUUGCCAAAUCAUACACAAAGCUGCCUCAAAGUUGUUAACAAACUCUCUUUCAUGGAAGGAGAAUUUUACUGGAGAAAAUUUGAUAUCCAGGUUUCUCCUGAAAAUUUUUUCCAUAUGCAGUGCCUCUCAAGUAAUUUCCAUUGUCUUUCUUCACAUAUAGAAAAGAGUUCAGUUCAGACUGUUUUCCUGGACGUGGUGUUUUGCUUCUACUGAUAUUUGAAAAACUAAGUGAGAAAAAUGCAAUGAGGCAUGAUGAGAAAAAUCUCCAAAGAUUUAGAACACGGGUUCCAAAAGUAAGGUCCAGAUGUAAAUUGUCACAGACAUGUAGACAUUAAUGGAAUUAUACUGAUACAUGCCAGCUGAAGGUCUAACCGAGCAUGUUCAUAGGAAUACUCAAAGGUGUGAAACUGGGCUUCCAAUCUAGUAUAAAUUAACUUUCUUGGACAAACCAGGUCCAUUAAUUUGGAAAGAAGCUCCCACUAGCUGGCAUUCAUUUUAAAAACAUUUUUUAAGUACCUUUUAUAGGGCUUGAUUCAAACCCAAUGAAGUCAGUGGAAUGGCUGCCCUUAAUGGGUUUGGAAUCAGGCACAUCAUGAAAACUGUUUCACCAUAUGUUUCAAUGACAUUUAAGCUCACUCACCCUGUUUGAAGAAUUCUUUAUUCAACUACUCAGCUUGAAAUUCUCAGCUCUCUGGACAUUUUUGGUCAAUUCUGCUCUUGUUUGGAAGAAGCUGGAAUGGGAAGAAUUUAGUCAACUCCUGAGGCUAGGAAAAAUAAUAAGCAUUCUGUGGUUGGUUUGAGGUAUGAAGAAGAAAGGAUAUUUUUAAAGCUAGUUUAAUUAUCAUUUCCCAAAUCUUGAUUUUUUUAAAAAAAAGAAUAUAAUGGAUAUAUCAGAGCUAGAGAUAGAGCAAAGUCUGAAAAUAUUUUUACAAAUUUAUUUCAUUUUGAAAGAAUGAACAAAAUGGAACCCAGACCCUACAUUUUGCAAGAUCCUGCCUUCUUUUUGGUAUUCAUAUUACUUCUGUUCACAAGCCUUAUUUAUUACGGGAUCAUUGUCCUUGGAAGUUAUAAUAAUGCACCACUAGCAAUAUGAUAUGAAUAUGAUAAAUAGUGACAAAAAUAUCAGUAUUACUAAUACCCUUACUGUAAUUGCAACAGCUAUUUGGUGGACUAUUCUGGCAAGAUCAAUGUGAUCCACUGGGGAAGCAGAGAUCUUUGCAUAUAAACUUUCUAAGCAUCCACCCAUCUUCAAUAGUUUAAAAUCUUCUGUGAACUGAUGAACCUCCAAAAAUAAAACCUGGUUAUUACUAGAAAGAGCA